GGUUCCAAGGAGCGUUGCAGCGGCCCCGCGCGGGCCGCCAGGCUUGGAGCCGACCCCACCCCGCAACGACGCUCACCUGUU
rnacentral:ncRNA from 2 species